rnacentral:lncRNA from 1 species
CCUCACUCGUCUAGUCCCCUUCCUGUCUUAAAUCCCCUCACUCUGUCUAGUCCCCUUCCGUCUUAAGUCCCCUCCCUCUGUCUAGUCCCUUCUGUCUUAAGUCCCCUCACUCUUUUGGUCUCCUUCCUGUCCCAGUAAAUCCCUCACUCUGUCUAGUCCCAUUCCUUUCUUAAGUCCCCUCACUCUGUCUGUCCCCUUCCUGUCUUAAGUCCCCUCACUCUGUUUGGUCUCCUUCCUGUCUUAAGUCCCCUCACUCUGUCCUGUCUCCUUCCUGUCUUAAGUCCCCUCACUCUGUUUGGUCUCCUUCGUCUUAGUUCCCCACUCUGUCCUGUCUCUUCCUGUCUUAAGUCCCCUCACUCUUGCCUGUCUCCUUCCUGUCUUAAGUCCCCUCACUCUGUUUGUCUCCUUCCUGUCCCAAGUCAAGUCCCCCCACUCUGUCUAGUCCCCUUCCUGUCUUAAGUCCCCUCACUCUGUCUGGUCUCC